AUCUAAAUAGUUUAAGUAAAAAAUACUGGUUUGUGGUGCCAGUGAUAUAAUAUGUUUAUUUUGGAUU
rnacentral:tRNA from 1 species